rnacentral:lncRNA from 1 species
GCAUAGUUUACUUAAAGUCCUGGAUACAAAAUUAAAUCAUAAUAUUUGCAUAUUUGUAAGUUAAAUUGUUAAGAAGUGCUUAUAUUUACUCUUCGCAGUCAUUGAAACUCAUAGAUCCUUCCGGAAUAUUAUUUAUGGGGUAUUUGUGUCCUUUCGAUAACCCAAAAGUAAGCCGCAACACCUAAAUCUGCUUUUUUUGUCACCACGGCAUAAUAAAU